rnacentral:rRNA from 1 species
CCUACGGGAGACAGCAGUGAGGAAUAUUGGUCAAUGGACGAGAGUCUGAACCAGCCAAGUAGCGUGAAGGAUGACUGCCCUAUGGGUUGUAAACUUCUUUUAUAUGGGAAUAAAAUGUUCCACGUGUGGGAUUUUGUAUGUACCAUAUGAAUAAGGAUCGGCUAACUCCGUGCCAGCCGCCGCGGUAAUACGGAGGAUCCGAGCGUUAUCCGGAUUUAUUGGGUUUAAAGGGAGCGUAGGUGGAUUGUUAAGUCAGUUGUGAAAGUUUGCGGCUCAACCGUAAAAUUGCAGUUGAAACUGGCAGUCUUGAGUACAGUAGAGGUGGGCGGAAUUCGUGGUGUAGCGGUGAAAUGCUUAGAUAUCACGAAGAACUCCGAUUGCGAAGGCAGCUCACUGGACUGCAACUGACACUGAGGCUCGAAAGUGUGGGUAUCAAACAGGAUUAGAUACCCCAGUAGUC